UCAAAAAGUGAGUCACAAAAGGGAAAGCACAAUUGAUUAAUAUUUCAAGGCAACUUAUUAUUUUGUUUAUUUUCUUUUGCAUGUUUCUUGGGAAGAUUCUGGAGUUAAAAGAUGGCCAAAAGACUGGGUGAACGAGGACUUUCUUUAUGUUUGAGAGAAACCAAGACUCAUCCCAGGCAAUCAAACUAAGGCCCAGGAAGGAAAACUGAAGUCCAGUUAGGUAAACCAAUUGACAGGUAGAUUCGUUUAGUGACUGAACCACAGGUUUUUCACUUUUGGAGAAAUGAUCCUUCUGACAAUAAACCUGGGAUUCUUAAUCUGUUUCUGGGCUUUUAAAUCUGAGUUUUGGCUCCCUUUGGCCUUUAUUCCUCUCUUCUUUCUCUCCCUGCAGAUAUCCUCUGCAGUCAAAGUCUAUGGAUCGAGCACAUUACACAGUCAUGGUGAUAGCAGAUGUGUCCCUAAAAGGCCUUGGCUGUCUUUGGGCCAUUGUGGUCCUACUGAAAAAAGGGCUCAUCCUCAAAGGCUGUGAAAAAAUUAAAAACAGAAUUGGAGCUGAAUAAACUGGUUUGAAGAGCUGGGACAUUGCAAUUAGCCAGGUAUGUGCAUUCCAGCUGUGUAAACUUGGACAGGAGACAUUAUCUCCCUAAAACCCCAGUUUCUGCAUCUAUAAAAUGGGGAAAAGAGUGGUUAUUUCCUUAUAGGAUCAUAGUAAGAAUUGAUAUAAUGU
rnacentral:lncRNA from 1 species